rnacentral:rRNA from 1 species
UCCCUACGGGGGGCAGCAGUGGGGAAUAUUGCACAAUGGGGGAAACCCUGAUGCAGCAACGCCGCGUGAAGGAAGACGGUUUUCGGAUUGUAAACUUCUUUUCUUAGUGAAGAAGCAAGUGACGGUAGCUAAGGAAUAAGCAUCGGCUAACUACGUGCCAGCAGCCGCGGUAAUACGUAGGAUGCGAGCGUUAUCCGGAAUUACUGGGUGUAAAGGGGGCGCAGACGGCGAUGCAAGCCAGGAGUGAAAGCCCGGGGCCCAACCCCGGGACUGCUCUUGGAACUGCGUGGCUGGAGUGCAGGAGG